GCCAGGCAGUGGCUCACAUCUGUACUCCCAGCACUUCUGGAGGCCAAGGUGGGAGGAUUGUUUGAGCCCAGGAGCUCGAACCAGCCUGGGCAACAUAGUGAGAUCCUGCCUCUACAAAAAAUUUUAAAAUAAGUUGAGUGUGGUGGCACACUUCUGUAGUCCCAGCUACUUGAGAGGCUGAGGUGAGAGGAUCACUUAAGCCUGGGAAGUGGAGGCUGCAGUGAGCCUUGAUCGCGACACUGCACUCCAGCCUGGGUGACAGAGUGAGACCCUGUCUAGAAGGAGAAGGAGGAGGAAGGAAGAAGAGAAGAGAGGAGACACACAGGGGCAGAUAGCUAUGCGACAGUGGAGGCAGAGAUAGCAGCGAUGCAAUUCCUACUUGCUAGGGAAGCCAGGAUCACUGGCAAACACGAGAAGCUGGAGAUUGAAGGAAGGAUCUUCCUUCCCUACAGGUUUUGGGGGGAGCAUGACACUGCCAACACCUUCAUUUUGGACUUCCAGCCUCCAGAACUCUGAGGCAACACAUUUCUGUCAUUUUAAGUAACUCAGUUUGUGAUACUUUGUUACUGCAGCCCUGGAAAACAAAUACAGGUGGGAUUCAGACUUUGGCCUGCUGAGCCUGUGGUUUUCCCGUUGAUGUCGCCCUGCAGCCAUGACAUGGACAGAGCUACUUGGGAUGCUGGGAUCGCAGCAUCCGUACUCACCUGCUCUCUGGAGCCCUCCUGCGCACAUGCACUGGAGCCAUGAGAUACCCCUGAGAAGUGGUGAGCUUGUGGCGUGAAGAGCUGGGUGACCUCCUCUUCCUUUUGGUGGCCUGAGCCAGAGAUGUCACUUCCUCACCUGCUCUUUUCUGCUUUCAUGUCUCAAGCUGCCUGGGGGCUUCUUUUUUUAGGUCUCUUACACUCGACUAAUCUGCGAAUGGGCCAAGAACCCACAAUGGGGAAAGGACAGACUCUUCAAUACGCAGGUUGGGAAAACAAAAUAUUCACCUGCAGAAGAAUUAAAUUGGAGCCUUGUCUCACAUCUUAUAUAAAAAUCAACUGAAAAUGGAUUAAGGACUUUAACAUAAGAUGUGAAACUAGAAGAAAACAUAGGGGAAAAGCUUCUUGACAUUGGUCUGGGCAAUGAUUUUUUUUUUUUUUAAUAUAUGAUCCCAAAGCUCAAGAAAAAAAAAUAGGUGAAUGGGGCCAGGCACGGUGGCUCAUGCCUGUAAUCCCAGCACUUUGGGAGACCAAGGCGGGCAGAUCACUUGAGGUCAGGAGUUCAAG
rnacentral:lncRNA from 1 species